UAACUUUAUUAUUAUUUUUUUAGGCAAAUAUGCACAUCAAUUUUUCAAUUUUAAAUUUGUAUUAUUAGAGCAAUUAUUGAGUUUCAAAUAUGGUACCUAUAUAUUGGUAUAAAAGUUAGGCCAUGAAUUGAAUGAUUUUUUUUUUUAUGCAGGUAACUUUUUUCUAGUCUUGAGAAUGGACAUUAAGUGCUUGAUUUCAUCCAUUGAAAGUUUUAGAAAUAAUCAUGGCAACAAAUGGAUUGAUUGAUAUAGUUAAUGAAUAUGAUGAAAACACAAAAAUAGGAGGGAAAAGAAGCAAUCAUUCGACAUCUUACUACAUUAAAAUAUAAAUGAUGAUAGUGAAUGAAGGGAGCUGCAGUGUGUCAAAAUGAGUAAACAGCAAAUGGAAUUACAGAAAGAUAUUGAAAUCUCUACAUUGAAAUACUGUGUUUUCUCACCACACAGUUCAAGGCUAUUUAUUAUUGUGUUUCUGAUGUCAUAUGAGUGGUUUGAGUUCAGUAUUUUUGUGAUUUUACGUUUUGCUAUUUUCUUUAUGUCAUUGGAUGUUUCUUAAUGGCAAACUCAAUUUUAUCUUGUAUUUACUUGUAACUUUGUUUUGGAAAUGCUGUUUUUGUAGGGCCUUGAUCAAAUAACAAUUUGAAGUUCUAGACGUGUAAAUGUGCCAAUUAAGCCUCACUGUACAUGGACCUAGAUGUAUAAAUACCAAACUGAACAUACCGAUGGACAAGACAAAUACUAAAUGACCCGUGCCCAAAUAUGGGGCUUAAAACAAAACAAAAAUAAAAUUUGUUGAUUUUGACUGAAGUUCAUGAUUGGUAAAUGAUACAAAAAAUAUAAACAACUUAUUGUUUUCUACACAUACUUUAACUAAUAUUAUGAUUUGCAUAAUGAAUAAUACAUAUCAACUAUCACAGUCAAACUCAUGUAAAAAUAUGUCAUGCAUUUGUAAAUAAUAUACCUGUAAGUCUAUUUGCAUAAAAU
rnacentral:lncRNA from 1 species